UUUUAUGAGAGUUUGAUCCUGGCUCAGGACGAACGCUGGCGGCGUGCCUAAUACAUGCAAGUCGAACGCUUCUUUUUCCACCGGAGCUUGCUCCACCGGAAAAAGAGGAGUGGCGAACGGGUGAGUAACACGUGGGUAACCUGCCCAUCAGAAGGGGAUAACACUUGGAAACAGGUGCUAAUACCGUAUAACAAUCGAAACCGCAUGGUUUUGAUUUGAAAGGCGCUUUCGGGUGUCGCUGAUGGAUGGACCCGCGGUGCAUUAGCUAGUUGGUGAGGUAACGGCUCACCAAGGCCACGAUGCAUAGCCGACCUGAGAGGGUGAUCGGCCACAUUGGGACUGAGAC
rnacentral:rRNA from 1 species